rnacentral:rRNA from 1 species
AAUCAACGCUGGCGGCGUGCCUAACACAUGCAAGUCGAACGCGAAAGCCCCUUCGGGGGUAAGUAGAGUGGCGUCCGGGUGAGUAACACGUAGGUAAUCUACCUUCGGGUGGGGAAUAACCAGUCGAAAGAUUGGCUAAUACCGCAUAAUGCAGCGGCACCUAAUGGUGAUUAGUUGUUAAAGCGGGGGAUCGUAAGACCUCGCGCCUGAAGAGGAGCCUGCGGCAGAUUAGCUAGNGGUGAGGUAAUGGCUCACCAAAGGCUUCGAUCUGUAGCUGGUCUGAGAGGACGGCCAGCCACACUGGCACUGACACACGGGCCAGACUCCUACGGGAGGCAGCAGUGGGGAAUUUUGGGCAAUGGGCGAAAGCCUGACCCAGCAACGCCGCGUGAGGGGAGG